UACAGAGGGUGCGAGCGUUGUUCGGAAUUAUUGGGCGUAAAGAGCUCGUAGGCGGUUUGUCGCGUCUGCUGUGAAAACUCAGGGCUUAACCCUGAGCCUGCAGUGGGUACGGGCAGACUAGAGGUGUGGUAGGGGAGAUCGGAAUUCCUGGUGUAAGCGGUGGAAUGCGCAGAUAGUCAGGAGGAACACCGGUGGCGAAGGCGGCCCACUGGAUCGGUACUGACGCUGAGGUGCGAAAGCGUGGGGAGCAAACAGG
rnacentral:rRNA from 1 species